rnacentral:lncRNA from 1 species
AGUUAUCGAGAAUGGAUGCACAGUCUCGUUCUGAGGCACGAGAGGCGCAUUGACAGAAACUUCUUCUAAAGACCCCUCGUCAGUAUCACAGAGGGGCAACAGUCUGAUUUCACCACCCGGCAAAGUCUCACAGUGUGCGUAGCCGGUGUGGUUCUCCACUCCCUCGUAGAAUGGGAGGUUCACAUGAUCUCCGUCCUUGUCCAUUCCCA